UCUCUGGUAGUAUAUCGGAUAGUACACCCGCCUGUCACUGAAUUACGUAACGCUUACGUAAUUCCAGUGCGCGGGAGAGCGGGGUUCGACUCCCCGCCAGAGAG